rnacentral:rRNA from 1 species
AAACUAAAUAGGAUUCCCUUAGUAAUGGCGAAUGAACAGGGAUAAGCUCAACUUGAUAAUUGUGGCUUCUGGCUUUGAAUUGUAAUCUCAAGAUGUAGUGCCAAGGAGGGCGUAGGUGUAAGCCUCUUGGAAAAGAGAAUCAUUGAGGGUGAGAAUCCUGUUUGUCACCUGCAGACCCCCCUGUACGGCCUACCUUCUAAGAGUCACGUUCCUCGGGAUUGGAGCGCAAACUGGGUGGUAAAUUUCAUCUCAAGCUAAAUAUGGGUUCGAAACCGAUAGCAAACAAGUACCAUGAGGGAAAGAUGAAAAGGACUUUGAAAAGAGAGUUAAAAGUGCCUGAACUUGCUGAAAGGAAAGCGGAUGGAACCAGUGUUGCUUGGUGAGAUUGUUGCGCGCUAUGGUGAUGGCCUGCUGCAUCAGCGCAAGCGUUGCCGUGGGUUUUGAUCUUGAUGCGCGUGAUGCUUCUUGCCUCGUGUGUCAUCGUCGGUUCGAUGGUGAGGAUAACCCUUGGGACAUGGUAGCUCGCCUCUGGGUGUGUGAACGUGCCUUGUGGAACUCACCUUCGAACUGCAAAUCGAAUGUGCGGUUGCGCUGCGUCGACUAUCGUUACUCAGUGUAAUCGGGUCGGUGCACCUUCUGCACACAGCUAUGGAUUCGACCCGUCUUGAAACACGGACCAAGGAGUCUAACAUNUGUGCGAGUUCUUGGGUGGCGAAACCUACGUGCGCAAUGAAAGUGAGUACUGAGAUCUUUGCAUCAGCAGCCGACCGAUCGACUGGGAGAGGUUUGAGCAUGAGCAUAUCUGUUAGGACCCGAAAGAUGGUGAACUAUGCCUGUGAAGGGUGAAGCCUGGGGAAACUCAGGUGGAGGCUCGUAGCGAUACUGACGUGCAAAUCGUUCGUCAUACAUGGGUAUAGGGGCGAAAGACUAAUCGAACCAUCUAGUAGCUGGUUCCCUCCGAAGUUUCCCUCAGGAUAGCUGGAGUUGAAUAGUUUUAUCAGGUAAAGCGAAUGAUUAGAGGAAUCGGGGACGUGUUGUCUUCGACCUAUUCUCAAACUUUAAAUGGGUAAGCUGCAGUUGUUACUUUGUUGAACUUCUGCGUUUAAUUACGACUCUAAGUGGGCCAUUUUUGGUAAGCAGAACUGGCGAUGAGGGAUGAACCUAACGUUGGGAUAAGGUGCUCAACUGCUCGCUCAUCAGAUACCAUAAAGGGUGUUGGUUCAUU